rnacentral:rRNA from 1 species
GCAAGUCGAGCGGUAGAGAGGUGCUUGCACCUCUUGAGAGCGGCGGACGGGUGAGUAAAGCCUAGGAAUCUGCCUGGUAGUGGGGGAUAACGCUCGGAAACGGACGCUAAUACCGCAUACGUCCUACGGGAGAAAGCAGGGGACCUUCGGGCCUUGCGCUAUCAGAUGAGCCUAGGUCGGAUUAGCUAGUUGGUGAGGUAAUGGCUCACCAAGGCGACGAUCCGUAACUGGUCUGAGAGGAUGAUCAGUCACACUGGAACUGAGACACGGUCCAGACUCCUACGGGAGGCAGCAGUGGGGAAUAUUGGACAAUGGGCGAAAGCCUGAUCCAGCCAUGCCGCGUGUGUGAAGAAGGUCUUCGGAUUGUAAAGCACUUUAAGUUGGGAGGAAGGGCAUUAACCUAAUACGUUAGUGUUUUGACGUUACCGACAGAAUAAGCACCGGCUAACUCUGUGCCAGCAGCCGCGGUAAUACAGAGGGUGCAAGCGUUAAUCGGAAUUACUGGGCGUAAAGCGCGCGUAGGUGGUUCGUUAAGUUGGAUGUGAAAUCCCCGGGCUCAACCUGGGAACUGCAUUCAAAACUGUCGAGCUAGAGUAUGGUAGAGGGUGGUGGAAUUUCCUGUGUAGCGGUG